rnacentral:lncRNA from 1 species
AUGGACUUCAACGACCAAUAUCCAGGACAAGUGUGUACCACCACCUCCACCGAUGGGGACAUAGGGAUAUCAGGGGAACACUGGCAGUGUCCCCAAAGGAGUGAAUCCUUACUCUAUGAAAGCAGCAGGUCUAUGGGGCAGCAGAUACCCUACAAUGCAUUCAAUGAUGGGACCAAUCAAAGCCUCCAAGCCAUGGGCCUGGACUGCUUACUAGACAGCUCUCUGGCUUGCUCCCUCUUCACACUUUGACCUCAUGGCACCAAUGGUUGUGCCACCUGACACUCUACCUUACUGAGGUGCGAGGGACAUCCUGUGCCACCAGUCAGUUGAUGGUGGAUGACCUUCUGACCCCGUGCUCGCCAGGUGACCCGGGUGCCAGAGAAUUGACCUGGAUGGAUGUGCCUAGCGACAAGCUGCUGGAGCCCAUCAUCUGCAUGGUGAGAAACACACAUUCACAGCACAGACAUACUCCCAUUCACUGCUCACAAACAUACUGGAACAUGCUGUUUCAACAUACACAUCCAGGCAUUGCAAACUGACUCUCACAUUUGUGUCAUUUCUGAACCAUGCUCAUGAUUUUAUUUGUCUUCUGUGUGUGUCCCUCUGCCCUCCAGUCUGACAUGCUGUGCUCACUAUCCACCACGCAACCCACAGUCAACAUGGAGGUCUUGUUCAAGGUCAGGAAGUUCACAGAGGACUUAGAGCAGGAGGGUUGAGAGGCCCUGGUUGGCAGGGGCUUUACUACUCCUUACUCAGUCUCUCCUAUCAAGACCCAACUCCAGUCAAAUAGUAGCUACAGUAUUACAACAGUAUUACAACACUACGAACCUGCAUUGGCAAGAAUGAUGGAGCAUUUAAAUUUACACACAAUUGUGCAAUGGAAAUAUAUCUUUUUUGCAUAUCCCAACUCUGAGACACCCACAAGUGCCUUGCUCAAGGGCACAGCGUCAUCAUUAUUUAUUUUCCCACGUUGUCGGCUCCGGUAUUUGAGCCAGCAACCUUUCGGUAACUGGCCCAAUGAUCUAACCUUGAGGCUACGUGCCACCUCUUAGGGGCUUAAUACAGUUCCAGCCAAUAGGGGGUACUCUGGUGAAGCCCAUGGGAAAUAAAGAAAUGUAGUUCAAGUGAAUUGGGAAGAGUAAGAAUGAAAAACUAAAGAAAGACUGUAAACGGCUGUGACCUUUAUGACAUGAUUAAAAGCGAAGUAAACCGUACCUUUCCCAUUGUAGUUUGUAUGAUAAGCUCAUUGGAAGGGUAACAAAUUUGGAGGCACCGCUGAGAUUUAUUUCCAUGUGAGCACCGGCCCAUAUUCCUGGAACGGACAACGAGUGAGAGACAUUGGGAGAGUAGCUAGCUAAUGUUAGCAGGCUAACCACCUAACGGAGUGUAGCUACAUUGUCUGCAUUGUCGUUGUUGGUACGUGAAUAGGACAAUAUGAGUCGAGAGAG